rnacentral:lncRNA from 1 species
UUUCAAGUUAGGUGAGUGCAAUUUUGAUGCUAAUAAUAGAAAUACAAAAAUGGUAUUUUGUACCAAAAGUCCAUCACUGCUACCCAAUCUUGGUUGAACAACUCCCUAGUGUGUGCAGGAGUUUGUUUUGAGUUGUCUCUGAACUGCUUAACUAAGUUUGGCAAGAUUUGAAUAAGUUGUUAAUGUUAAUACUGAUGAAUG